rnacentral:lncRNA from 1 species
GCGUGGUCCACAGGGUGUGCCAUUGGCAGGAGGCGGGGGGCCUUGAAAAGGAGUGUGGAACCCUGCUCUCCACUCUCUGCCCGCUUCCUGCUCAGGAUCUGAACAGUCUGCGGUGUCUUGUAUGCCCUCUGUCCCACUGCCUUCCCCAGAGGCCCAAAGCAACUUCCAGAUCUUAGACUGGCACCUCAGAACUAUAAGCCAAUCUUUUCUAAGUAAGAGCCUCAGGAAUUUUGUUUUAGUAACUGAAAGUGGACCAAUACACCAUUCUACCCUCAUUUUCUGUUUUAGCCUCCUGCCUACCUGGAAUCUUCAGUCAACACACUUGUGUUUCUCUACCGUUGCCCCCCAAGUUGCCUCUUUCUGUCCAGCUCCUGAAACUGUAGCUAUUGAAACCUCCCCUAAACCUCAUUACCACAAAGGAGUCUUUCUUGAUAACCUGCUUUCAAUUCUCAGCAGCCAGAAAGUCUUCUGAUCUUGGAAUCCCGUGGGCUGAUUACUGUGUAUCCUCCUCCCCCGGCCUUCAUGGGAAAUUGGUUCCAGGACCCCCAAGGACACCUGAUCCAAAGAUGCUUAUGUCCUUUUUGUAAAAUGUCAUGGCAUUUUCCUAGAACCUAUGUACAUUUUCUCAUGUACUUGAAAUCAUUUCUACAUUACUUACAAUAACUAAUGCAAUGGAAAUGCCACAUAGAAAUUCUUAUUCUGUAUUAUUUAGGGAAUAAUGACAAGAGAAAAUGUCUGAACAUGUUCAGUACCUAGGCAAUGGGAAAACACUGCGAUCACAGUCAAGUAAAUCUCCAGAAGCAGAAACCAUGGGUAGAGGGGGCCAAUCGUAC